ensembl:snRNA U6 U6 spliceosomal RNA
GUGCUCGCUUCGGCAGCACAUACACUAAAAUUGGAAUGAUACAGAGAAGAUUAGCAUGGCCCCUGUGCAAGGAUGACAUGCAAAUUUGUGAAGUGCUCCAUAUUUUU